rnacentral:rRNA from 1 species
UACAGAGGGUGCGAGCGUUGUCCGGAAUCACUGGGCGAAAGGGCGCGUAGGCGGUCCGCUAAGUGUGUGGUGAAAGCUCGGGGCUCAACCCCGAGUCGGGCCGUGCAAACUGGUGGACUCGAGCAUGUCAGAGGCAGGCGAAUUCCGGGUGUAGCGGUGGAAUGCGCAGAUAUCAAGGAGGAACACCGGUGGCGAAGGCGGUUCUCUGG